rnacentral:rRNA from 1 species
UACGGAGGGUGCGAGCGUUGUCCGGAAUCACUGGGCGUAAAGGGCGCGUAGGCGGCCUGAUAAGUAGGGGGUGAAAUCUUGCGGCUUAACCGCAAGGCUGCCUUCUAAACUGUCAGGCUAGAGCACAGUAGAGGCAGGUGGAAUUCCCGGUGUAGCGGUGGAAUGCGUAGAGAUCGGGAAGAACAUCAGUGGCGAAGGCGGCCUGCUGGGCUGUUGCUGACGCUGAGGCGCGACAGCGUGGGGGAGCAAACAGG